GCACUACCAUAGGUCCCUGGUCUAAAGUAGUGCACUACCAUAGGUCCCUGGUCUAAAGUAGUGCACUACCAUAGGUCCCUGGUCUAAAGUAGUGCACUACCAUAGGUCCCUGGUCUAAAGUAGUGCACUACCAUAGGUCCCUGGUCUAAAGUAGUGCACUACCAUAGGGCCCUGGUCUAAAGUAGUGCACUACCAUAGGUCCCUGGUCUAAAGUAGUGCACUACCAUAGUGCCCUGGUCUAAAGUAGUGCACUACCAUAGGUCCCUGGUCUAAAGUAGUGCACUACCAUAGGUCCCUGGUCUAAAGUAGUGCACUACCAUAGGGCCCUGGUCUAAAGUAGUGCACUACCAUAGGUCCCUGGUCUAAAGUAGUGCACUACCAUAGGGCCCUGGUCUAAAGUAGUGCACUACCAUAGGUCCCUGGUCUAAAGUAGUGCACUACCAUAGGUCCCUGGUCUAAAGUAGUGCACUACCAUAGGGCCCUGGUCUAAAGUAGUGCACUACCAUAGGUCCCUGGUCUAAAGUAGUGCACUACCAUAGGGCCCUGGUCUAAAGUAGUGCACUACCAUAGGGCCCUGGUCUAAAGUAGUGCACUACCAUAGGGCCCUGGUCUAAAGUAGUGCACUACCAUAGGGCCCUGGUCUAAAGUAGUGCACUACCAUAGGUCCCUGGUCUAAAGUAGUGCACUACCAUAGGUCCCUGGUCUAAAGUAGUGCACUACCAUAUGAUCUGUUCUACGAUCUGUUCUAAGAUCUGUUCUAAGAUCUGUUCUAAGAUCUGUUCUAAGAUCUGUUCUAAGAUCUGUUCUAAGAUCUGUUCUACGAUCUGUUCUACGAUCUGUUCUAAGAUCUGUUCUAAGAUCUGUUCUAAGAUCUGUUCUAAGAUCUGUUCUAAGAUCUGUUCUACGAUCUGUUCUACGUUCUGUUCUAAGAUCUGUUCUAAGAUCUGUUCUACGAUCUGUUCUAAGAUCUGUUCUAAGAUCUGUUCUAAGUUCUGUUCUGAGAUCUGUUCUAUGAUCUGUUCUACGAUCUGUUCUAAGAUCUGUUGUGAGAUCUGUUCUAAGUUCUAAGAUCUGUUCUAAGUUCUAUGAUCUGUUCUGAAAUCUGUUCUAAGAUCUGUUCUACGAUCUGUUCUAAGAUCUGUUCUAAGAUCUGUUCUAAGUUCUAAGAUCUGUUCUAAGUUCUGUUCUGAGAUCUGUUGUGAGAUCUGUUCUACGAUCUGUUCUAAGAUCUGUUCUAAGUUCUGUUCUGAGAUCUGUUCUAUGAUCUGUUCUACGAUCUGUUCUAAGAUCUGUUCUAAGUUCUAAGAUCUGUUCUAAGUUCUAAGAUCUGUUCUGAGAUCUGUUGUGAGAUCUGUUCUACGAUCUGUUCUAAGAUCUGUUCUAAGUUCUAAGAUCUGUUCUGAAAUCUGUUCUACGAUCUGUUCUAAGAUCUGUUCUAAGUUCUAAGAUCUGUUCUGAAAUCUGUUCUAAGAUCUGUUCUACGAUCUGUUCUAAGAUCUGUUCUGAGAUCUGUUCUAAGAUCUGUUCUACGAUCUGUUGUGAGAUCUGUUCUGAGAUCUGUUGUGAGAUCUGUUCUACGAUCUGUUCUAAGAUCUGUUCUAAGUUCUAAGAUCUGUUCUAAGUUCUAAGAUCUGUUCUAAGUUCUGUUCUGAGAUCUGUUCUAUGAUCUGUUCUACGAUCUGUUCUAAGAUCUGAGAUCUGUUCUGAAAUCUGUUCUACGAUCUGUUCUAAGAUCUGUUCUGAGAUCUGUUCUGAAAUCUGUUCUAAGAUCUGUUCUACGAUCUGUUUUAGAUCAAUCAAUCACAUGUAUUUCUAAAGCCCUUUUUACAUCAGCCGUUUUCACAAAGUGCUUAGAGAGGAACUCAGCCUCAAAACACCUUAUCUGUUUGUGUUGAAGAGAGGAAGAAGGGUUUUUAAAGCAGCACGACAUAAAGCCUCCCCCUCCCCUCGACUGAGAUAACAGGUUUGUAGGAGCAUCCGAGGGAUGGGAGGAGAAGGG